CCAUGAUGGGGGCCUGGUAGUUCCUCUCCUGCUUUGUACUGAAGUGCACUGUCAACUAGUUUGUCUUGCUGACGUUUAGAAGGAGAUUGUUCCUCUGGCACCAGUUCUCCAGAUUUCCAAUCUCCUCCAGGUGUCAGAACGCCAUUCUAGACUGUUCCGCCACACGUUAACCCCUGGUAAUAAGUACUGGUGAUAUUUAGGACCUUUCCAGAAAAGCUGAUCUGGCAUCCUGUCAUGACCUGACUUCUUACUGACACCAUUCAUGUCCUUCAUUUAUUUCAUUUGUCUCUGUGAGGACACUAGCUGAAAGGAAGUAACCAGAGGAACAUUGUGCCUGCAGCAAAAAUAGUUUUAACAAGAACUGGUCACUUCAGAUGCAUGAAAAAUCAUCAGACAUCACAAACUUUAUUAUGAGAAGACAGCAGCAGUAAAUCCUGAAAUUAAUACCAAAAUGAAAGACACCUCAAGAACCAGGACGCUGAGACUUCGUCUCAACAUAAUACUUGUCAGUGUCCUUAGAGCCUCUCUGCUGACGGAUGGCGCUAAUAUACGACUCGUGGGUGGCAGUAACUCCUGCUCUGGUAGAGUGGAAGUCUAUUAUAAUAACCAGUGGGGAACAGUGUGUGAUGAUGACUGGGACAUGAAUGAUGCACAGGUGGUGUGUAGACAGCUUGGAUGUGGUAAUGCUGUCAGCGCUCAU